rnacentral:rRNA from 1 species
UACGGAGGAUGCGAGCGUUAUCCGGAUUUAUUGGGUUUAAAGGGUGCGUAGGCGGUCCGUUAAGUCAGCGGUAAAAUUGCGGGGCUCAACCCCGUCGAGCCGUUGAAACUGUCAGACUUGUGUUGGCGAGAAGUACGCGGAAUGCGCGGUGUAGCGGUGAAAUGCAUAGAUAUCGCGCAGAACUCCGAUUGCGAAGGCAGCGUACCGGCGCCACACUGACGCUGAGGCACGAAAGCGUGGGGAUCGAACAGG